GCGAUCCUCGGCUAUCUUCCCAUGUCGCCAGUGCAAGAUUUCCUCAUGUCUUUGAUUUUGCUCACACGGUUUGUAGCUUUUUGAAUCGCUGGUAGCAGCUUUUUGACUAAACCAGUUGAAUCCUUUUUAAAUCACUUCUAGUUGUAGCUUUCGUCUAAAUGGAUGGUUUCUUUUGCAUCUUUUUCCCCAAAAUCACCGGUUCCAGCUUCCCCAAUCACCGGUUGAAGCUUUUUAUUCAGCGGGUUGUAGCUUUUUUGGAUUUUUCAAUCCAGUGCUGGAACCACUAGUUGGGCAUGUUACAAGCAGGGGCAUUUUUUGCUGGAACCAUGUUCUUUCUUUGCUUGAACCGGUCCUAAUUUUUGCUACCACCUUGUGUUUUGAUUUUGCUGGAACCAGUCUAAAAAUUGCUAUCACCGUCUUUCGAUUGUGCUGGAACCGCAUUAUUUUUUUGCUGGAACCGCCUUUUUCUUUUGCUUCAACCUACCAUGGUUGUUUUUGUUGCUGAGAUUUUUUUGCUGGAACUAGCUUUAAUUUUUGCUGGAACCAUCUAAAAUUUUACUGCUAUGGCGGUGGCGGCGGCGAGAAGUAUUUGUGUGUUUUGCUGGAACCGGAGAUUUUGUUUUGCUUCCACCUACGGCAUUUUUUGUUGCCACCAGCGACGACCUACGGCGGCGAGCGAGGGACUGCUGCUGCAAGCAGGCGGUGAGAUUGCAGAUCGUCAAGGAAAGGGAGGUUGGGACCCAAAGAAGGUCAUGCUGUAAUCUCGACGGAUGUGCGGCGAGCGACGACAAGCUGGUUGUGCCGCGACGGCGCGGCGGAGCUGCGGUGGGGGUGGGGACUCGAGCGCUGCAGGAUGGGCGGGUGGCCACACGCGGUGAGGCGGACAAAGCACGACGAUGCAGCAGAAACGCGUGGGUGGAGGAGAUCGGGAUGAAAGGGAACGGUCCCACGGGAACCAAUCUGACGGUGGGUGGUCGACCGGCCCAAAAUUGGGCCGGUGCACCGGCGCAGAUUACUCCUCUCAUUAUCAAUACACAAGUUUCAUUAUAACUUUACAUUACGGCGCGAUCUGUUGACCAAGCGAGCGGCAUAGUAAUUACGACGUUGGCACUCCACCAGAACGCCGGUUAGCAACGAUUACCCAUCGCUGAUUCUUAAGUUAUGGCAAUAUACGUAUCUAAUCUUGCUGCUCUCAAUUGUGACUGUGAUGGCAGAAAGAGAAAAACCAAUCAUCUAUGUAGUGUAUAGUGGCACGGAACAUCGAUUAUUCUUCCAUGAUAAUCCGCUUGGAUCUUCCAUGGGAACAAACACGGCACACGCCGGGGGCUCUGGGGCUAGAACCGGCCAGCAGCCUGCCACUUUCUCGAGUACAAGUACGGGCAGAUGGAGCUCCCGUCAUUCCCCUCCGAUCAGUAGCAGGAGGUCACUUGGGGCGCCUUGGUGACGAACUCCCGAAGUGUCGUUCACGCCGAAGCAGCGGUGGGCCGGUGGCCCGCCUCGUCGAGCUGCACCGGCUUAGUCUUUCUCACCGCCGCCACAUGGACUGUCUCGGCUGCCCGCCGCCUGCUAUGGUGAACGUCUACGACUCACCUACAGGGUGGAUGCGCUGAUGGACAUGGUCUAGGAGACGAGGGCCCCGACCGAUGCUGGAAGGGAGGAGAUGCCUCGUACGCGCUGGCGGUGUCCGGGGAGAAGGGAAGCAAGCUACGGCCACGACGUAACACGA
rnacentral:rRNA from 1 species